GGAAGAUGGACAGGGACUCUGUUGUCAUAGCUUCAGGGGGAAGAUGGACAGGGACUCUGUUGUCAUAGCUUCAGGGGGAGAUGGACAGGGACUCUGUUGUCAUAGCAUCAGGGGGAGAUGGACAGGGACUCUGUUGUCAUAGCUUCAGGGGGAGAUGGACAGGGACUCUGUUGUCAUAGCUUCAGGGGGAAGAUGGACAGGGACUCUGUUGUCAUAGCUUCAGGGGGGGGAGAUGAACAGGGACUCUGUUGUCAUAGCUUCAGGGGAAGCUCAUUCCACCAUCGGAGGGCAUAGCUUCAGGGGAAGCUCAUUCCACCAUCGGAGGACCAGGACCGAGAAGGACUGGUGUUGAAUAACAGCAUGUAUUUUGAUUAAUGAUGAUUUAAAACAUUUAUUCCCCAUUUUUUUAUGAUUCUAUGCACAGACGUCUGUGCCAGAAGGUUUUCUGCCGUGCAUAUUUACUGGUUGAAUUUAAUAUUUCCAUAUUUCGUAUUAUGGUAAUUUCGUAUUACCAUAGUACAUCACUCCAG
ensembl:lncRNA